UACGAUAAAGGCAAACCCUGAGCGAUCAGGGGACGCAAAGUAAAGGGUCUUUAGAAGCUGUUUAAACGGCUUAAACUGCUUAAACGGUUUAUUAGAAGACAGCCUUACUGCCGGAG
rnacentral:ncRNA from 1 species